rnacentral:tRNA from 1 species
GCCCAUAUAGCUCAGUCGGAAGAGCGCCCGGCUUUUAACCGUGUGGUCGUGGGUUCGAGUCCCCAUUAUGGGUG